rnacentral:lncRNA from 1 species
GCCUGCUGUUGUCCAGGAGCGCACGUGCGCGGCGGGGGGGCUGCGAGGGAGUUAUGGACCUGAAGAUUGGAAGUGACCUGGCAAGGGAGAAGAAGGACAAGCAAGAGUGAAAGAGUAGCAAACCCUGAAGUGGUUCCAAGGGUUUACCUCGUGACCACAGAGACCCAUCUCUGCCAGAGAGGAACAAGCAUGCAGAGAAGAAUUCAAUAGCCUGGGUUGUUCCUGGGAUUGGUGAGCUUUAAAAUCUCCUGUGAUGUCAAGAAGAGGAAAGCCUUCACAUCCCAGGUUUGGCCAUCACAUCCCCGAAUUCAGCUGCAUUGGCUGAAUGUUAAAUGGUUUAUGCCCAGCUAGUGGGAAGGUGAAUAAUACGUAAAGGAGCUGGGAUCUACACAUACGUUGGAUGACACAGACAUUGUACUUCAGAGUCUCGAAGCAUUUUGGAGCAUCUGGGCUCACUCCUGGCAUCUCGGAUCUAUUGCCCUGCAGUCCCCUCCGGGCACUGGAGCAGCGUCACGGUACAGACAAGUAGAGCCAGCACAGAGUGCAGCCACUGAGCCGACUGCAUUGCCUACCUAACCUUGAGGUUUAGAGCGAGUCUGGGAAUUUGAGCAAGGAAGAGAGAGAAAGCUUAUGUUCAUCCCCAAAUUGAAGGCUCAACAGCCGGCUUGAGAAAAAUGAGUUGCCGAAAGCCGAAAUUCUUCAGAGAGAAUUUUCCCAAAGUGACGUUUGACAUUGCCCUGUUUGUUUAUUUUCUUCCUGGCCAAAGGGCCAACUCCAUAUUGUGUCCUAAUUAAACAGGAUAACAAAAUAGAUUUUUGAAAAAGGUGCAUUGCGUGUGCGUAACAUUCUCCUAGCUAAUCUGGAUGCCCAGGGAGUAGCCUUUCUAAACAUUGAGCACUUUACACACAAGAAGAACUACUACUGAGCAACAUUUUGGGAAGUGGUCAGUAGUGCUGAAUCCCCGGGGCAAUCAUCGAAAUAAGCUUUCCAUAUUCUGUCCUCCCAGUGACAUUUUGGUUCAUUAGAUUCUAUCACAAUAAUUUAGAACCUUUGACUGUUCUCCCACUACAAGGCCACAAAGGUUUUUUUCUUUCUUUUUUUUUCAGACUCUAAAUCUUCACACCCGCCAUACCCAUCUACAUAUCUGCUUUUGAAUAGUCGGCCAGAUAGUAGCUCCUUUGCGGGUGUCCUAGUAGGGUGCCUCUCCACUUGCAGAAUUCUAGAUGUCAACUGCCCCGGGCUGUGACCUUGGGCCAUUCCUAUUCCUUUUCUACACUCCCUCCCAGGGCAGCCUCCUCCAGCCCUAGGCUUUAAAUAGCCUCCAUUCACUGAUGUAUAUCUUUAACCCUGACCUCUCACCAGUACUCCAGGCUCGUAUAUCCAGCUGCCUCCAUGACAUCUCUGUUUGCAUAUCUCAAACUUAACAUGUCCAGAGCAGAACUCUUGACUUUCCGUAUUAAAACCGAAACUCCAAAUUGCUUCCUUCAAGUCUUCUUCCUCUUAGAACCAAAACGACUCCUUCUCUCAAACACCACAUUCAUUUUUGCAGGAAAUCCUUCCACUUCUACUUUCAAAACAUAUCCCGAAUCCAAUCUCUUCCUUUAAUUGCUAGCACCCUGAAGUUUCUCCCCUGGGUGACUAACCCGUUCCCUGCUUCCAUUAUCCCCCCUCCAGCCUCAAUUCAGCAACCAGAGAGUUCUUGCAAAACAUGAGUAAGAUGUCGUUAUCCUUGCUCAAAACUCUUGAAUGCUCUGUGCUUCUAAUCACACCACCAUAAAAAUCCAAAGUCUUGGAGUUCCCGUCAUGGCAUGGUGGAAACGAAUCCGGCUAGGAACCAUGAGGCUGUGGGUUCCAUCCCUGGCCUCGCUCAGUGGGUUAAGGAUCCAGCAUUGCCGUCAGCUGUGGUGUAGGUUGCAGACGUGGCUUGGAUCUGGCGUUGCUGUAGCUGUGGUGUAGGCUGGCAGCUUUAUCUCCAAUUCAAUCCCUAACUUGGAAACUUCCCUAUGCCACAGGUGUGGCCCUAAAAAGCAAAAAAAAAAAAAAAA